ACUACGGGAGGCUGCAGUGAGGAAUAUUGGUCAAUGGGCGCGAGCCUGAACCAGCCAAGUAGCGUGAAGGAUGACUGCCCUACGGGUUGUAAACUUCUUUUAUAAAGGAAUAAAGUGAGGCACGUGUGCCGUUUUGUAUGUACUUUAUGAAUAAGGAUCGGCUAACUCCGUGCCAGCAGCCGCGGUAAUACGGAGGAUCCGAGCGUUAUCCGGAUUUAUUGGGUUUAAAGGGAGCGUAGAUGGGUUGUUAAGUCAGUUGUGAAAGUUUGCGGCUCAACAUUAAAAGUGCAAUUGAUACUGGCAGCCUUGAGUACAUGUGAGGUAGGCGGAAUUCGUGGUGUAGCGGUGAAAUGCGUAGAUAUCACGAAGAACUCCGAUUGCGAAGGCAGCUUACUAAACUGCCACUGACAUUGAUGCUCGAAAGUGUGGGUAGCAAACAGGAUUAGAUACCCUUGUAGUC
rnacentral:rRNA from 1 species